UAUGGGAGGCAGCAGUGGGGAAUUUUCCGCAAUGGSCGAAAGCCUGACGGAGCAAUACCGCGUGAGGGAKGAYGGCCUUUUGGUUGUAAACCUCUUUUAUCAAGGAGGAAGUUCUGACGUGUACKUGAUGAAUAAGCAUCGGCUAACUCCGUGCCAGCAGCCGCGGUAAGWCGGAGGAUGCAAGCGUUAUCYGKAAUCAYUGGGCGUAAAGCGUCUGUAGGUGGUUUAAAAAGUCUGUCUGUUAAAGAUUGAAGCUUAACUUCAAGAAUGCCGUAGAAACUUUUAAACUUGAGGAUGGUAGGGGUAGAGGGAAUUUCCAGUGGAGCGGUGAAAUGAGUAGAUCUWGGAAAGACCACCAACGGCGAAGGCACUCUACUGGGCCAUGACUGACASUGAGAGACGAAAGCUAGGGGAGCAA
rnacentral:rRNA from 1 species